AUGUAGCACUCGUACACUCCGGUUACCCUGCGCCGUCCACGCCCACGCGUCUCCGCGUCCCAAGUUCGGCGCCCAGCGUGCAACCGGUCCAUCUGACGACUGCUCACUACGUUCUGUCAGCC
rnacentral:sRNA from 1 species